GGUGUCGAAAGACUUAAUAGGGAAGUCCGGUGGAAAACCGGUGCGGUCCCGCCGCUGUAAUAGGGAGCGAGGCUACAUUAUGUCACUGGGAGAAAUCUUGGGAAGGCGUAGCCAAGCGAUGAUCUGGAGCCAGAAGAACUGCCUAUUUAA
rnacentral:ncRNA from 1 species